UUUAGGAUUUUUCUUUGUGGCAGGAUUUUAUUCAGUCUUCCCUUGCGGCUGCGAACCUGUUACAUACUUGCUGGUCUGUGUAAGCUCAAGGAGAACAGACCUUCCUGUGGGUCGGUUUUAAAAGGGGAUUUCCCCGACGGCUGCCCUGGCUUGCUGUAACAGGACAGGAAAUCAGGAAAAAGGGAGGAGCGUGAUAAGAAAUGCUAAGAUAACAAAUAAAGUGGACCCAAAAGGAGACUGGAGGCUAAGCCGAGCAGAGGAGACUCACGUUCCUUGUUAAAGGGGAAGGAAAGUCUUUUUAACUUGGGGGUGCCACAAUUUAGGCAUCCCAAGUGAUUUUAUUUACUUAACUGAUAACCCAGGCUGCUGCUGCUCCUGUCAACAGAAAACUGCACCGGCCCAGGGUUCUUCCAGAGAUCACCACAGAGUCAUUCUCUUUUUUCACUUCUUCAGACAUAACUGCACAGUGGUGUGAAAUAGCUGUUUUUUUUUGUUGUUAAAGUAUGGCUUUUCACUCUGCUGUGUAUGUACAGCUGCGGGAAUAAAGAAUAAGCAUGAACAGGAUCCCUCUGUGUAGCUCACUGGGCCUCUGCAGUUUUCUGUUGAUAGGAGCAGCAGCCCUGGGUAUAUACAAUCACUUAGAGCUGCCUAACUUUUGGUACCUUCAAGUAAAAAACAUGCUUUCUCCUUUAAAGGGAGGGGAUCUCUCACAUCUUUGCCUGUGUGAUGUGAUGAAAGCCCAAGGAGGAAGUUCUGGACUGAAGAGCUACUGCACAUUCCUUUCCUCUCCUGCUUCAUUUGCAUGUCUUCGACCCAACUGGCUGGCAAGAUUUUACAUAAGAGAAUUAAUUUCAUUUAUGUUCCAGAAUAUGACUUUGAUUUUAUCAUUAUAAACAAUUGAAAUGUACUAUGCCACAAAAGAGAUCAUAUUCAGUUAAUCUAUCCAUAGAAAAAAAAAAAUAUAUAUAAAUGUCAGCACAAAAG